CUUAAUUGCGAUAACGAACGAGACCUUAACCUGCUAAAUAGCCAGGCUAGCUUUGGCUGGUCGCCGGCUUCUUAGAGGGACUAUCGGCUCAAGCCGAUGGAAGUUUGAGGCAAUAACAGGUCUGUGAUGCCCUUAGAUGUUCUGGGCCGCACGCGCGCUACACUGACAGAGCCAACGAGUUCAUCACCUUGACCGAAAGGUCUGGGUAACCUUGUUAAACUCUGUCGUACUGGGGAUAGGGCAUUGCAAUC
rnacentral:rRNA from 1 species